CAAUAUUUUCUUAAAAGUUCUACAACAGCUCUGGCAGCGAGGCUUGCAUGUUCUGCAAAGUCAGCCGCUGCUUGAGCAGCAGCGGUAGCAUCCUUAAAUUUUAUGUUCCCGUCUGCCAACAGAAAAAUUACCAUUACCAGCUCCAGGAAAUGAUUGCCCAUGUUCGAACCUUUCAUCCAUGAAACCUAAGUGGCAUGAACCACCAUCAACAACACAAUAUUUCAUUUAAAGUCCUACAACAGCUCUGGCAGCUAGGCUUGUAUGUUUUGCAAUCUCAGCCGCUGCUUGAGUAGCAGCAGUAACAUCCUUAAAUUUUAUGUUCCAAUUCUGCCUGCCAACAGAAAAAUUACCAUCUUCAAGAAAUGACUGCCCAUGUUCCAACCUUUCAUCCUUGAAACCUAAGUGGUGUGAACCACCAUCAUCAACACAAUAUUGCCUUCAAAAUUCAACAACUGCUCUGGCAGCUUGGCUUGCAUGUUCUGCAAACUCCGCCGCUGC
rnacentral:lncRNA from 1 species